AUUGCACGUCAGCUACUUCAAUCUGAUGUUCGAAUUAUCAUCGAAUGCGCCCACUGCUUAGGCGCCCCCUAUUUAUACAUUCAAAUCGCUCACAGGUCAAUAAUAUCGGAGACACAGAUACUAACGUGGCUGCCAGUCGCGUUCUGCACAGGCUCCAAAUUGGUUUAUCCUUCACCAGCAGCAUUUAACCCCUGUAUGGCCUGAUGUACGGUGGUGUUGGUCGAGGUGAGCUGACUACAGUGAUGACCAUGUCCCAGUGAGACUGGGCAGGGCAACCUGGCCCAGAGGAGGAGUGGAGGUGCCAGAGAAGCUCUGCCAGUCACAAUUAGAUUGAAGAACAGAUAGAGGGACACGCCCCUUCCCCUCAACACUGCUCACCACCUCGCAACCAUGCA